rnacentral:rRNA from 1 species
GUGCCAGCAGCCGCGGUAAUACGGAGGGUGCAAGCGUUAUCCGGAUUUAUUGGGUUUAAAGGGUGCGUAGGCGGUAUUUUAAGUCAGUGGUGAAAUGUUGCAGCUUAACUGUAGAAUUGCCAUUGAAACUGAAGUACUUGAGUUAUCUUGAGGUAGGCGGAAUGUGUAGUGUAGCGGUGAAAUGCUUAGAUAUUACACAGAACACCGAUUGCGAAGGCAGCUUACUAAGGAUAAACUGACGCUCAGGCACGAAAGCGUGGGGAUCGAACAGGAUUAGAUACCCUGGUAGUCC